rnacentral:misc_RNA from 1 species
AAUGCAUAUUGCGCCUGCUAGUACUCUGGCGGGCAUACCUGUUUGAGCGACAUUUCUCCCUUCAAGCUAUAGGUGCCUGGUGUUGGGGUUGCCCCGUCCUCUGCCCGGCGGGGGUCCCAAAAGAGAGUGGCGGACCCUCUUUUAGGCCCGGGCGGGGUAACAAUAGCUCACCUAGAUACAUAUGGGGCGCGCUAGCCGUCAACCACCCCUCCCGCCCGCGGGAAGGCAACCGUUUACUGACCUCGAAUCAGCUAGGACUACCCGCUAAACUUAA